rnacentral:rRNA from 1 species
GACGAACGCUGGCGGCGUGCUUAACACAUGCAAGUCGAACGCUGAAGCUCAGCUUUUGUUGGGUGGAUGAGUGGCGAACGGGUGAGUAACACGUGAGUAACCGGCCUCCUUCUUUGGUAUAACGCCCGGAAACGGGUGCUAAUACUGUAUAUUCACUGGUCUUCGCAUGGGGGUUGGUGGAAAGGGUUUUUCUGGCGGGGGAUGGGCUCGCGGCCUAUCAGCUUGUUGGUGGGGUGAUGGCCUACCAAGGCUUUGACGGGUAGCCGGCCUGAGAGGGUGACCGGUCACAUUGGGACGGAGCUAAGGCCUAGACUAGUACGGGGGGGAGAAGUGGGGAAUAUUGCACAAUGGGUGCAAGAGUGAUGCCGCGACGCCGCGGGAGGGAUGGGGGCCUUCGGGUUGUGAUGCUCUGUCGGUCAUGGUGAAGCCGAAACAAUGGUUGUGGUGAGGGUAGUGGGUAAAGAAGCGCCGGCUAACUACGUG